rnacentral:lncRNA from 1 species
UUUUAAAAUUAUAUUUAACUUGUGUAUAAAUUAUUUUAUAUUGUAUAUAUAUAAAUUGUGUUAAUUUUAUCCUGUAUGACGCUGUCAUAAAAAAGAUUAGUUAGGCCCAAUAUUUGCGUGAAGUGAAGUUAACGUUAAUGAGGCCCAACCUGUGCGUUAAUGAGGCCCAACCUGUGCGUGAAGUUUACGCUGAUGCUGUGAGUAUAAAGCUAUGAACUUAACCGUUUAUCAUCAUUAUCAGAGAUGGUGUAAGUACAAAGCUAUGAACUUUUUCUUCUUUCCCUUUUUUUUUCAUUCUUCUUUCCCAUUUUUUCAUUCUUCUUUCCCAUUUUUUCAUUCUUCUUUCUCUUUUCUCGAUUCAUAGCUUUAUUCUCCUUGCUAUGAACUUAACCGUUUAUCAUCAUCAGUGAACUAAACCUGUGCGUUGAAGUGUACGUUUACAGUGGGCAGCUUACAAGAGUGAUGCAUGAAGUUCUAGACAAAGGAAGUGGAGAAAAAAGAGUCCAAGUUUGCUCAAAGAUGCAACUCAGCUGUUCAAUCUCAUUGUAUGUUAGCGUCAGUGAACCGAGAGUUUAUAAUAGACAUAUUUUGUCAAUUUAUCAUGAAAAAUCAUUGUAACAGUGGAUUGCCUGAUUUGUGGAAUUUAGCUAUGAAAUCUGUUGUGUAUUGAACCGUAUCGAGAAAAUUUCCCGGAUUUGUGGAGUUUAUAAUCGACACAACGCUAUUGUUUGCCAUGUUACUUGGAGGUCAUUUAUUCAAAUCCUACAAAUAAUCUCUUCACUUGUGAGAGUCACUGGCGUACCUCUAUCCUCCUCGGAUCCCACUGGCGUACUUCUAUCCUCUCUUGUUUCAAUUUGCCUCCUUAAUGGACAUCAUUUCGUAUCUUCUUUAUUUCCAACUAUAAACAUAUAUAUGCUACCGGGGAAAUAUGAGCAAGGAAGAGAAAAUUCUCAUGGAAAGUGAAGGAAAACAAUCCGAGUGAAUCAGAUGAUAAGCUUAACAGCAGCGAUUAAUGGACUUUAGUGUGAGACUAUUUGACUAACUCUUGACCUAUUGAUGAUAGCUUGAGUUCCUAACUAACUUCUCAUGGCAUGUACUUUACUAUCCACAUAUUUUACUCGUAACUUCUAAUUAUUACACUGUGGUAUAUCGAUAUUUCCGUAGGUACUAACAUGUAUUUGACGGAACUUUUAGGAAUGAUGCAUCGUCUUUUGUGAGGCCAAUUCAAUUAAGAAACAUUGUACUUUCUGCUUUUUGUCGAGAUUGACUAUUCUGGAUUCGAAGUCUUCAGAUCUAAAUAUGCUAUUACUGAUUGCAGACCCUUUUGUUUUACCUGUAAAAUUACAAGGCUUAAGCAGACUAAUGGUGAAAAACUGGAUGGACAUUGCACCCUGGGCAGAGCUAAGUGACAAGCACAAGCUAUAUAUCAAGGAAGAACAAGAACAUGAAAAGCUGCAUUCGUACAGGGGCAGCUUACAAGUUGUUUUAGCACAGUUGUUUUUGUUUGAAGUUCUAGAUGAAUUAGCAAUCUAUUAUCUUCUUCAGACAAAGAAAGUGGAGAAAAAAGAGCCAAAGUUUGCUCAAAGAUGCAACAGAGCUGUUCAAUCUCUUUGUAUUGCAGGCUGUGCAUUGACGCAAUGGUAAGAUUGUUUGUCUUGGUCAUGGAGGUCUAGGUGGGAGCCUUGUGUACCAUGGGAGUUUGGCAAUUAUCUUAUGUCAG